ensembl:lncRNA
CCCUGUGUGUCCCCAGUGUCCCUGUGUCCCCAUUGUCCCUGUCUGUCCUCUGUGUCCCUGUCUAUGUGCAUGUCCCUGUGUGUCCCUGUCUGUCCCCGCUGUCCCCGUGUGUCCCUCACCGGCCGAUGAUGCUCUUGCUCUGCAAGUCCCCGUGUGCUCCUGUAUGUCCCUGUACCCUCAUGUCCCUGUGUGUCCCCGCUGUCCCCGCUGUCCUGUGUGUCCCCAUGUACCUGUGUGUCCCCACGCCCCCAUUGUCCCUGUCUGCCCCCAUUGUCCCUGUGUGUCCCUGUACCCCCAUAUCCCUGUCUGUCCCCAUGUCCCCUGUGUGUCCCCAUGUCCCCUCAAUGUCCCCAGGCUCUCCCUGCUGUCCCUGUGUGUUCCUCACCUUCCAAUGAUGCUCUUGAUCUGCGAGUCCCUGUGUGCUCCUGUCCCUUUGUGUACCCAAUGUCCCCGUGUACCCUGUCUGUCCCCAUGUCCCCCAUCUGUCCCCGUGUCCCCAGGGUGUCCUUGCUGUUCCUAUGUGUCCCUCAUCUGCCAAUGAUGCUCUUGAUCUGCGAGUCCCCGUGUGUCCUCAUGUCCCUUUGUGUACCCAAUGUCACCAUGUCCCCUGUCUCUCCCCUUGAUGUCCCCGUGUCCCCAGGCUGUCCCCGCUGUCCCCAUGUGUCCCUCACCUGCUGAUGAUGCUCUUGAUCUGUGAGUCCCUGUGUGCCCCUGUCCCUUUGUGUCCCUGUCUGUCCCCAUGUCCCCAUGUCUCUGUCUGUCCCCGUGUCCCCAGGGUGUCCCCGCUGUCCCCGUGUGUCCCUCACCUGCUGAUGAUGCUCUUGAUCUGCGAGUCCCCGUGUGUCCCUGUGUGUCCCCAUGUCCCCCAUCUGUCCCCAUGUCCCCAGGGUGUCCCCGCUGUCCCCGUGUGUCCCUCACCUGCUGAUGAUGCUCUUGAUCUGCGAGUCCCUGUGUGCCUGUGUCCCUUUGUGUCCCUGUCUGUCCCCAUAUCCCCAUGUCCCUGUGUCCCCGUGUCCCCAGGGUGUCCCCGCUGUCCCCGUGUGUCCCUCACCUGCCGAUGAUGCUCUUGAUCUGCGAGUCCCUGUGUGUCCCCAUGUCCCUGUGUGUCCCACUGUCCCUGUCUGUUCCCACGUCCCCAUGUCCCUGUCUGUUCCCAAUCUCCCUGUGUGUCCCUGUACCCCAUAUCCCUGUGUGUCCCCAUGUCCCCAAUGUCCCUGUGUGUCCCCGUGUCCCUCCCAUAUCCCUGUGUGCCCCUGUCUGUCCCCAUGUCCCUGUGUGCCCCCUUGUCCCCAGUGUGUCCCUGUACCCCCAUAGCCCUGUGUGUACCCAUGUCCCCAGGCUGUCCCCACUGUCCCUGUCUGUCCCUGUGUCCCUGUGUGUCCCCGUGUGUCCUGCACCUGAUGAUGAUGCUCUUGAUCUGCAAGUCCCUGUGUGCCCCUGUCCCUGUGCCCCUCUGUGCCCCAUGUCCCAUUGUCCCUGUCCGUCCCCAUUUCUCUGUGUGUCCCCGUGUCCCCAGGCUGUCACCGCUGUCCCCAUAUGUCCCUCACC